AUUGAACGCUGGCGGUAUGCUUAACACAUGCAAGUCGAACGGCAGCACAGACUGUAGCAAUACAGUUGGGUGGCGAGUGGCGGACGGGUGAGUAAUACGCGGGAAUCUGUCUUGGAGUGGGGGAUAACUCGAGGAAACUCGAGCUAAUACCGCAUAUCUAGUUUACCAGAAAGGGGGCCUAUGCUUGCAAGCUCUCGCUCUAAGGUGAGCUCGCGUCUGAUUGGCUAGUUGGUAGGGUAAAGGCCUACCAAGGCGACGAUCCGUAGCUGGUCUGAGAGGAUCACCAGCCACACUGGGACUGAGACACGGCCCAGACUCCUACGGGAGGCAGCAGUGGGGAAUUUUGGACAAUGGGCGCAAGCCUGAUCCAGCCAUGCCGCGUGCGGGAAGAAGGCCUUCGGGUUGUAAACCGCUUUUGUCGGGGAAGAAAUCUUCUGGGCUAAUACCCCGGGAGGAUGACGGUACCCGAAGAAUAAGCACCGGCUAACUACGUGCCAGCAGCCGCCGUAA
rnacentral:rRNA from 1 species